GACGAACGCUGGCGGCGUGCCUAAUACAUGCAAGUCGAGCGGAGCGGCGGACGGGUGAGUAAUGCCUAGGAAUCUGCCUGGUAGUGGGGGAUAACGUCCGGAAACGGGCGCUAAUACCGCAUACUAUCAGAUGAGCCUAGGUCGGAUUAGCUAGUUGGUGGGGUAAAGACCUACCAAGGGGACGCUCCGUACCUGGUCGGAGAGGAGGAUCAGUCACCCUGGAACGGAGACACGGUCCAGCGUCCUACGGGAGGCAGCAGUGGGGAAGAUUGGACAAGGGGCGAAAGCCUGAUCCAGCCAUGCCGCGUGUGUGAAGAAGGUUUUCGGAUUGUAAAGCACUUUAAGUUGGGAGGCGUUACCAACAGAAUAAGCACCGGCUAACUUCGUGCCAGCCGCCGCGGUAAUAC
rnacentral:rRNA from 1 species